AGUUUUUCAGAAGCGUCUGAUUGAUGCUGAUAGUCUGACAAUGAAGUUACAGACUGAAAGUUCAGUUCAGUCUGAUAAACUUUCCUUGAUGGAGUCCAGACUGGCAGACAGCCACAACAACUCUGCAGAGCUGGAGGUCAGACUGAGUGUCAGUGAGAAACAGCUAGAAGAUCUAAAGACAGAAAACACAG